rnacentral:tRNA from 1 species
GGCCAAGUGGCGUAAUGGUAGCGCUUCUGUUUCCGGUACAGAGGGUUGCAGGUUCGAGUCCUGUCUUGGUCG